UACGGAGGGUGCAAGCGUUAUCCGGAAUCACUGGGUUUAAAGGGUGCGUAGGCGGCUAUUUAAGUAGGGUGUGAAAGCCCCCGGCUCAACCGGGGAAUUGCGCCCUAAACUGGGUAGCUGGAGUGGGAUAGGGGUGUGUGGAACUUCCGGUGGAGCGGUGAAAUGUGUUGAUAUCGGAAGGAACGCCGGUGGCGAAAGCGACACACUGGGUCUCAACUGACGCUGAGGCACGAAAGCCAGGGUAGCGAACGGG
rnacentral:rRNA from 1 species